CCUACGGGUGGCAGCAGUGGGGAAUAUUGGGCAAUGGGCGCAAGCCUGACCCAGCAACGCCGCGUGAAGGAAGAAGGCUUUCGGGUUGGAAACUUCUUUUCUCAGGGACGAAGCAAGUGGCAGUACCUGAGGGAUAAGCGACGGCGAACUACGUGCCAGCAGCCGCGGUAAUACGUAGGUGGCAAGCGUUAUCCGGAUUUACUGGGUGUAAAGGGCGUGUAGGCGGGACUGCAAGUCAGAUGUGAAAACCAUGGGCUUAAACUAUGGCCUGCAUUUGAAACUGUAGUUCUUGAGUACUGGAGAGGCAGACGGAAUGCGUAGUGUAGCGGUGAAAUGCGUAGAUAUUAGGAGGAACACCAGUGGCGAAGGCGGUCUGCUGGACAGCAACUGACGCUGAGGCGCGAAAGCGUGGGGAGCAAACAGGAUUAGAUACCCCUGUAGUC
rnacentral:rRNA from 1 species